rnacentral:rRNA from 1 species
CAGCAGUAGCCGCGGUAAUACGAAGGGUGCAAGCGUUAUUCGGAAUUACUGGGCGUAAAGCGUGCGUAGGUGGUGGUUUAAGUCCGUUGUGAAGGCCCUGGGCUCAACCUGGGAAUUGCAGUGGAUACUGGGUCACUAGAGUGUGGUAGAGGAUAGUGGAAUUUCCGGUGUAGCAGUGAAAUGCGUAGAGAUCGGAAGGAACAUCUGUGGCGAAGGCGACUAUCUGGGCCAACACUGACACUGAGGCACGAAAGCGUGGGGAGCAAACAGGAUUAGAUACCCCGGUAGUCCCUGUCUCUUAUAC